rnacentral:rRNA from 1 species
UACGAGAGGCCCAAACGUUAUUCGGAUUUACUGGGCUUAAAGAGUUCGUAGGCGGUUCGGUAAGUGAGGUGUGAAAGCCCUCGGCUCAACCGAGGAAUUGCGCUUCAAACUGCCGGGCUCGAGGGAGAUAGAGGUGAGCGGAACUGAUGGUGGAGCGGUGAAAUGCGUUGAUAUCAUCAGGAACACCAGAGGCGAAGGCGGCUCACUGGGUCUCUUCUGACGCUGAGGAACGAAAGCUAGGGGAGCAAACAGG